AGGUGAAAAUCUGGAAAAGCAAGAGGCAGCAAAAGACUUACUUUCCAGGAGAAACUUCUGUGAUCUUUACAGAGAAAGGAAAUGUGCUUCCCAAGAGUGAGAAGAUAUUAAGAGGCCGUCUAUAAAGCUGGCGGCUUUGUUUUCCAUCUGUGAUCAAUGUACCAAGAUUGUAGUCACACCGUCCCAGUCCUUGUGCCGCAGAUGUCAUGGUCCGACUGUAAUCCCAUUUCUGAAAGAGGAUUUCUCACCCAUCAAAUUACUGUUCCCCAGCACGCUUUCAUCUCUGAAUGCAUCCAGUCGGAAAGAUCUCUCUGACCUGCUGAUAAAAUAUUGUGGCCUCUUCACUGUAGGAAGUUAUGCAUUUAGAUAGAGAAUAUGUCUUCUGGAAAUACGGCUGCAAUCACGGUGAAGUAAAUAUUUUGUUCCACUUUGCAUGAAACAGGAUUCAGGUGAAGAGGACAUUUCAGAUGACAUUUUCAAAUGACUGUUCCUCAUCUACAUCUUUUAUUCUUGAGCUUGGGAAAGGCGCUUUAUAAAUAAAACAUUAUUAUUAUGAUAAUUGAGCACCAAAUGAACAUAUAAUGUUUUCUGAAAGACACAUGACACUAAGCCUGGAGUAAUGGCUGCUGAAAAACAGCUGUGCCAUCAGAGAAAUAUUUUAUAUUUUAAAAUAUACUGAAAUAGUAAACAUUUUAAAUUUAUUUCACAAUAUUAAUGUUUUGCUGAAUUUUUGAACCAAAUGAAUUCAGCCUUGGUGAGUAUAAGACUUUCAAAAACAUUUAAAAAAAAAACUCAAAAAUACUCUGUUGUCCUGGGCCAGUUAGACCACCCAGAACCAUCAUAGCAACUGCACAGCAACACCCUGGCAACCACACAGAAACCCUAAGUAUUUCAGCAAGGUUUGUCCAGACAACCACCACACACACUGUCUUCAAAAAUGCACAAGAACCAUUCCAUUUCUUUUUUUUUUCUGUUUUUCUCUUUUUGUGUGGGGUAUUGUACCCUCAGGAGCCAUCUCUGUCAACAGAACAACUGCAUCCAACCAGAGAAAAGCCAAAGCCUAACAGCAGAACAACAUAUCAAAGUCUGACUAAUUUAAUCCCUGAACCUAUUGUGUUUAGACUGGCAGCAGUCACACAAGGAUUAUUCAUGUCAUUGUUCCACGAUCUGUUACAUUAUCUGCUUCUGUUGUUCUCAUGCGUAAUCCAAAAUAAGCCGGGCUUUAUAUUAAUUACCUUACAGUGAUCUGUAGCCUCCUUAAAUAAAUCUUUGCCAUGUAAAAAUACAAACAGAA